GACGAACGCUGGCGGCGUGCCUAAUACAUGUAAGUAGAACGCACAGUUUAUACCGUAGCUUGCUACACCAUAGACUGUGAGUUGCGAACGGGUGAGUAACGCGUAGGUAACCUGCCUGGUAGCGGGGGAUAACUAUUGGAAACGAUAGCUAAUACCGCAUAAUAUUAAUUAUUGCAUGAUAAUUAAUUGAAAGGUGCAAUUGCACCACUACCAGAUGGACCUGCGUUGUAUUAGCUAGUAGGUGAGGUAACGGCUCACCUAGGCGACGAUACAUAGCCGAACGGGGGAGGUGGACGGCCACACUGGGACUGAGACACGGCCCAGACUCCUACAGGAAGGAGCAGUAGGGAAUCUUCCGCAAUGGACGAAAGUCUGACCGAACAACGCCGCGGGAGGGAAGAAGGUUUUCGGAUCGUAAAGCUCUGUUGUAAGGGAAGAAAGGGUGUGAGAGUGGAAAGUUCACACUGUGACGGUGUCUUACCAGAAAGGGACGGCUAACUACGUG
rnacentral:rRNA from 1 species